rnacentral:lncRNA from 1 species
CUACAGUAUUGCAGGGAUGCCUUGGACUGGUGGGUAAAUCUGACUAAUUAAUGAGUAUUAGCAAGUUCAUUUGUUCUCAAUUCUCCAGCGAAAUUCUCUUAGUCUUAUCAGUUAUAAUAAUAAAGCUGACAUUUUGAUCUCUAUGUGUCUGUUUUUUGUGUCUUAUUUCUCGAUAGGUUCUUAACUUGAGAAGGGAAGAGAGAGCUAUUAUUUAUUGAUCUCCUCAUACCUCAAAUGAUGCCAAAAAGAAGAGUGAAGAAUCAUCUGUUCCAUCUGACCUGCUCUCUCGACUCUCUGCGACAGAGUUUGGUUCCUUUCCCACAGUUGCUCCUCAGCACCCACUGAUCUUAUACAUGAACCUCCUCACCAAGGAACCACCUUUGAGCAUCCAUGCGGUGUUGGGUCAGGUGCCAAAGAACAAAGUGUCUCAGACUUGGGCCAAUGAUUCUGUUUCAUCCACGGUGAGUGAAUGCAGUGGAUAAGAACACCAGCUUUGAUGUCCGGAGACCUGGGUUCAAACUCUAUCUUUGACUUGUUCUAACCAUGUGACCCUAGACACUUAACUGAGCCUCAGUUCCUCAUCCAGAGAAUGAGAUUCAUGGUCACAUCUUCCUCCAUGGGAUUGUUUUGAGGAUUUAAGUAAGAUGUUGCUUGUUAAGCCCUUGGCACAGUUCAUGACACAAAGUCACUGUUAAGAAUGCUGGCAUAAAGAUACAUGCACACGUAUGUUCAUCACAGCACUAUUCACAAUAGCAAAGAUACAGAGUCAG